GGUAAUGUGCCGGAUAAAACGGGAUGCGUUGAUGACGCAUAAUAUGAGAUAACUUCACUCUCCAUUACCU
rnacentral:tRNA from 1 species